rnacentral:rRNA from 1 species
AGUACCGUGAGGGAAAGGCGAAAAGAACCCCGGGAGGGAAGUGAANGGGNUCCUGAAAUUGUGUGCAUACAAACAGUAGGAGCCUCGUAAGGGGUGACUGCGUACCUUUUGUAUAAUGGGUCAGCGACUUACAUUCAGUAGCAAGCUUAACCGAAUAGGGAAAGGCGUAGCGAAAGCGAGUCCGAAUAGGGCGCUAGUUGCUGGGUGUAGACCCGAAACCAGUGAUCUAUCCAUGGCCAGGAUGAAGGUGCCGUAACAGGUACUGGAGGUCCGAACCGACUAGUGUUGCAAAACUAGCGGAUGAGCUGUGGAUAGGGGUGAAAGGCUAAACAAACUUGGAAAUAGCUGGUUCUCUCCGAAAACUAUUUAGGUAGUGCCUCAAGUAUUACCGUCGGGGGUAGAGCGCUGUUUUGGCUAGGGGGUCAUGGCGACUUACCAAACCAAGGCAAACUCCGAAUACCGACGAGUACAGCUUGGGAGACAGAGCACCGGGUGCUAACGUCCGGACUCAAGAGGGAAACAACCCAGACCGCCAGCUAAGGUCCCUAAAAUUGGCUAAGUGGGAAACGAAGUGGGAAGGCUAAAACAGUCAGGAUGUUGGCUUAGAAGCAGCCAU